UGAGGAAUAUUGGUCAAUGGGCGAGAGCCUGAACCAGCCAAGUAGCGUGCAGGAUGACGGCCCUAUGGGUUGUAAACUGCUUUUAUAUGGGAAUAAAGUGAGGGACGUGUCCCUUAUUGCAUGUACCAUACGAAUAAGGACCGUCUAAUUCCGUGCCAGCAGCCGCGGUAAUACGGAAGGUCCAGGCGUUAUCCGGAUUUAUUGGGUUUAAAGGGAGCGUAGGCUGUUUGUUAAGCGUGUUGUGAAAUGUAGGAGCUCAACUUUUAGAUUGCAGCGCGAACUGGCAGACUUGAGUGCGCACAACGUAGGCGGAAUUCAUGGUGUAGCGGUGAAAUGCUUAGAUAUCAUGACGAACUCCGAUUGCGAAGGCAGCUUACGGGAGCGCAACUGACGCUAAAGCUCGAAGGUGCGGGUAUCGAACAGG
rnacentral:rRNA from 1 species